rnacentral:lncRNA from 1 species
UUGGUUUCUCAAUUCACCAACUGGCGCCGUCUGUGGGAAAAUAGAGCUAAGGCGUGAGAUUAAUCAAUUUUCCGGUUACUGUUCAUCAAAAAAAUGGGGAAAUUGGGGAACCAGAUCACUGUUCAUCGAAGAGGGGUUCGGUGGGAUUGGGGGCUAGAUCACUGUUCACCGAAAAGAAAAAAUGAAGAAAAAAUAGGAAGAAAACGAGCCGAGCAAAGGCAUUCUGGCGAGAAUCAGUCAGAUCCCUAAUUUGGGACCCAAUGAACAUCACCUUUCGAUUUUUGGGAAAAUCUCCAGUUCUCAGCAAAUUCCAAAAUAAAAGAAGAGCCAUAAGGAUAUUCGCAAAGCCAGUGCCCUAAGCCGCUUCUGCAUCAAACGUCGUUAGGAUGUUGCGCACAACCGCCGCGCGGGAGUCUCUCGCACCACCGGUCAAGGCCAGGGCUGGUCCGCGCCGCCACGCCAUCGCCGGUGUCCGGGAUCACGAUGUGCGAGAACCCUGCCUCCUCCACUUCCAUUCCGUCAGUCUAGGGCAGAGGAGACCUCCGAUGGGGGCUUUGACUUGGGAGACAAAAUUGGCCAUCUCCCAGAGGUAGAGGCCGAUACAGGGAAAGGACUAGAGUUUCCGGCUGGAUUGGAGGGGGUAAUCACCAGCGAUUUCUGGCUGCUCGAUGAAUUUCGGAUGAUUGCCACAAAGAUAUUUUCGUUUUUAGGGACUUCUAUUUAAUUCAGCUAAGUUCAUUUCUACACUUUCCUCCACCAAAUUGGGGUUCAGAUUUUAUUUUUGGGCAUAUGAACUUACUAACAGUGUAUAGCUCUGUGUUAUGAAGGGGCUGUUGUUUACUCGUAAAGUUUAUCACUCUGGUUUUAUACGUUUGGUCUCUGCGCUGCUAUUUCUAUAUUGACAUUUAUAUCAACGUGGCUGAUUUGCCGACAUUAUUUGAAUUAGUUAAUGGGAGAUUAAAUAAGAUAGGUAUUGAUUUGCUGUGACUGAGGGAUUAAGCCCCUAAACUCCUACUUCUUCUGUGAAAUUCAAUGAUUAUUGGAUGUUUAAAUAAGUCUUUCGUGAUAUUGCAGUAGAGGUUUCAUGUUAAUAUUUGUUGGGAUUAUCCACUGGGCAUUGCAUUGGAACUUUAAUAACUACAUUUGGGAUUGCGCUAUUAUUUCAUACUUUAUCUGUGAAUUCAGUAAAGUUAGGAAGGAACCGAUUAAGGAUCAAGUCCUCUUCGAAUGUUGGUCUUAUGCUCAGCUCAUGAUGGUUGACCACUGAUUAUCUCUAUUUGUGUCGGAUUAAGAAUCAUAUGUCCUUGAAUAUAUGUGGCAAUUGAGUGAUUGUUUAGCAUUAACCAUGCUCUCCUAAUUUGUUUAUUUGUUCGUUUGGGGGCAGAGGGAACUCAAAUCAAGGGAUAUAGACAAUAUAGAUGAUGAACUUUAAUGCUCGACUUAUCCAGGGAAGAAUACAAUCCGUUGUUGAUGAUGAAUGGGCAACUUGUCAUAUUGAUCUAUUUUGAUCAAAUGAUGAUAUGUAUGAUGUACAAAAUGGGAAUAAUUCUUAGGGUCAACUAUAAUCCACUGAAUUCAUGUGUCUCUAAUCUUUCCCUUGGAUAUUGGGCCUACUUUUUGUGGAAAAAUCAUAGGCACCGAUAUAUAUGCAUGAAUAUGUGUGUUUAUGGGCUUAUAUUUGCGUGCAUAUUUGGGCAAGUGAUUGCUUGUUUUAUGAUUUUUGUUUCCUGAUGCUUUGCUGAGAAAAGAAAUGGGAGAGUUGUUCUACCCUGGCUGGUUUGAAUCGAGUAAUGUGAGGGCAAAACAUGGAACGAAAUGCAUUUCUGGAAAGUCUUCAUUAUACUUAAUUUUCUGUGGGAUUAUGUUUAUUUACAUUACUGCUCUUGAGAUCUGAAUUUGCAGUUUACAUAUCAACCUUGAUGUUUUUUCUGUGGUGUCUGCGCAAGGAUUAUAUCUGCAUAUAUGUACAGGUGUAUGGGCACCGAGAUGCCAAAUAUGAUGGGUUUGACAAAAUGUGUUAUACUUUGAUCAUGUAGCGAUUGACUUUUUUAAGUUUAUCAUUUGCCCUGUGCUGAUUCUUGGGAUUUUUGAGCUUGUUAUUGUUGUGAUUUUACUUUAUUGGUAAGCUAUGAUGCUAUUAUGGUUUUUGGGACUUGAUAUUGUUGAGAUAUAACUCUGAACUUGGGAGUGAUUUAGCUAUGAUUGUUGCUCUGAUUUUGGGGAUUAAUUCUGUCAUUUUGUUGGACUAACUUAGCCCUGAUUUCGCAUUGUGAGUUCAGGACCACCAAGACGGGUAUUUCAACAUUUGCUCGCUGUUGAGAACACUACGAUUGCCUAGCUGAGCCAAAUAUGGUUUAUUCAUGGGAGCUCUUGACAAAAGGGGACAAAUGACAGCUCCGCUAGUUACUUGCUCGGGUCCUAAGCUCAACUUUUGGGGAAUGUUAUAGCGUCAAGACAGGGCUGCUGAACAUACUCACAAAAAAGAGACUAAUCGUGAUAUGGGUUUUUGGGUUAAAGACAUUAUUGAAUUCGUGGUUUCAUAUCAUAUGCACUGACAAAUAAUUAUUGUUUAUCCAUUAUACUUUCUCUUUGAGAAUCGUGAUUUCAGGAUUGUGAAUUUCAGCCAUUGGGACACAAAUAUUCUAAUUUAUGUGUCAUUUUUGGGGAUUCUCACAACUUUUAUUCGGUGGAAUAAAUGUUUAGGGCGGCACUGUUGCUUGGGAAAAGCAAAGCGUACACUUUUUUACUUGUUAAUUGAUUUACAGCCCUAUCUCUAAGGGCUCUCAUAUUUUACUAAUAUAUAUGUGCUUAAGAAUUUUUGUAGCACAGGAUAAACAAAUUUGGGGAAUGAUUUGAACAAUUAUGGUAAAUACCAUAAUGUAAAACAGGGUAACCCACUAGUAAGUGGUAAUUCAGGUAUUUCGCUGAACUCUAUCAAUGGGAGGAGCAUGAUUGGGAUAUGUGAUAUUUUAUCACUUGGGCAAAAUCAUGAUUUAUAUGAUCUUUGAUGGGAUUUGAAAAUUUGAAUGAAUUCAUCGGUAUAUGAAUAUGGGAAUCAAGUUGUGGCAAUGGAUUAUAUAAUCUAGGGUUCGAAUUCUCUUUGCAGCCCUGUCUUAAAGGGGCUUUCAUAUUUAUACUAAUAUCUGUGCCUAAGAGAUCUUGUAGCACAGGGCAAUUAAAUUUG